rnacentral:rRNA from 1 species
GACGAACGCUGGCGGCGUGCUUAACACAUGCAAGUCGAACGGAAAGGCCCUGCUUUUGUGGGGUGCUCGAGUGGCGAACGGGUGAGUAACACGUGAGUAGCCUGCCCUUGACUUUGGGAUAACUUCAGGAAACUGGGGCUAAUACCGGAUAGGAGCUCCUGCUGCAUGGUGGGGGUUGGAAAGUUUCGGCGGUUGGGGAUGGACUCGCGGCUUAUCAGCUUGUUGGUGGGGUAGUGGCUUACCAAGGCUUUGACGGGUAGCCGGCCUGAGAGGGUGACCGGCCACAAUGGGACUGAGAGACGGCGCAGACUCCUACGGGAGGCAGCAGUGGGGAAUAUUGCACAAUGGGCGGAAGCCUGAUGCAGCAACGCCGCGUGCGGGAUGACGGCCUUCGGGUUGUAAACCGCUUUCGCCUGUGACGAAGCGUGAGUGACGGUAAUGGGUAAAGAAGCACCGGCUAACUACGUG